CACUCACAGCCCGUGCGCGGGCCGAGGAACUGAGGAGGGGUCGGAGGAGCUGAGGAGGGAAUUGUGGCGGCCGGGCUUGAGUCGGGUUCCCAAGUUUCAGUGAUGCAGCAGAAUCGCGUUCUUUGAAGCGCCGCAAACAAUUCAGCGCGGGAUGUGUGGCAGCGAAAGCUCCUCGGGCUCCGCUCCCGGCCCGCAGUGCCCCUCUGCCCCCGGCUGACGGCCCGGCGCUCCGUGCGUCCUCCGCGCUGCCGGCCGCCAUGGGGCGCGUUGUGCUGCGCUGUGCUGCUCUGCUGUGCGCUGCGCUGCGGGCGCGGCUCGGCGCCCCGCGGGUUGGGUCGUUGCUUCCUGUCGCGUUGUUGUUGUUGACAUGGGAACCAACAUCGCUUUCUGUUCCAGAGAAUUGGAAGCUAAAGCUACCAAAGAAGUCGAAAGAAAACUAAGCAGGAUAGAACGCUUAUGAAGAGAAAAAUAACUUGGCAUUCUGUCCUAAGUUGAACCUAACAGUAUUCCAAAAAUUAAUGAAGGGCUUUCCUGCCUCACUUAUGUGGAACUGAGCGAAGGUAAAUAUUUGAAAUACAUUUACAAUUUUAUUCCUGAGCACAUGAGUUUGACUCUUCCUAAGCAUGCAAAUCACAGGAAAGGUUCACAGUGUGGCUUUCAUUCACCCAUUUCUGCUCCAUCUGCUUUGGCUGCAGGCUUUCUGUGUUCUGGCGGAAUUGACUUUGCCUGACAUCAUGUAUACCUCUAGACCUCAUCCACAUAUUCUACUGUUUCUGCUACAUGAUUUUUUUUUCUUUUUCAUUCUUCUGUGUUAGAUUAACAACCAUCAUUCCAUGAGGCUUUCCUUAUUUGCUUUAGAAAAAAGAUGAGAUAGCUCAGUGAUAGAGGCAUAGGUAUUAGAAUCAGAGCGAAAAGUGCAGCAGUUUCUGCUGAUACUUGAGCACUUGGUUUUCUGUGUUGGGAGAGCAGGGUUUUUGCUUCAUUUUUUUUCCAAUGAACUUCUGCAGUCAAAUGGGAAGAACUUAUUGCAAAGAUGCAGCAUCCUUUCAUAACCCUUAGAGAUGCUUAGGCAAAAUGAUACAUUGCUUUCUCAUCUACCCAAUAAGUGGGGUGCUUUUUUUCAGCUCGUGUAAUUGUCAGGUUGUCCCCAUAAGGCAAUUUGCUCUUACCAAACCCAUCUUGCUGUACACUCUUGGCUCUGCAUUAAUAACACCGAAGGGAUGAAUGGCUGUAUGGUGAAGGUGGUGGACUGGAACAGUCAGCAUUCACGUUCAUGCCUCUGUUAGAAAUAUCCUGUAUGACCAGUUUGCUUGAGGAGGAGCAGUUUAAUAGUUCUUUGCUUUCCCACUUGUAAUGAAGAUAGGGAUUGUUUAUUGCAGCUGCUGAAGUCUCUCGUAUAUUUGGGUGACAGACUCGUUGGGAAAGAGAUUAGUGUGCUUGUGUAGCAGUGAGUAUGAUAAACCCAAAUCAGGAAUGAAGCCUCAGGGACAAAACGUAAGGAAAAUAUUAUUCUGGAAUUAUGGUGUGUUUUCAGUUGUUGUAGUUUGGAAUGUAGUUCUGUUGAACCAGCUUCUGCAUGAGAAGAAUGGGAAAGGUGAGUGUGUUCCACACAACUGUUAGUGGUAGAUGUGCUAGUUGAAUUUCUGUCACUUUUGUGGUGAUAAUUUGAAGACUGUGGUAUUUUAGAAGUAGAAAAGAAAGUAGCUGGCACCCAUUUGCCAAUUAGUUAUGCAUCGAAGUAUCAGUUUAUAGCUUGGCAGCACCUCUUCUAUCAUUAACAGCUGGAAAGAACACAGAUGCAACAUCUCUAAUUCAGCGGUUUCCUCGUCAGUGGCUUUCUUUGCUCCUGUGUGGGUUUUUGUGAACUUCAGAGUAAUGGCUUCUGUGCUAUGAACUUGGAGAGUGUUCCUUUUGUUUUGAUGCACUGUUUUGCAGGAAGCAUAAAUAGGGAAAUAAAAGGAUCGAUUUUUAACUAAAAUACACCUUUUCUAAUUGGUUCUUAUAUAGAAAAGCUAGCUACUGGUUUUUAGAAACUGAGAAAUAGUUUUAUUGUCACCUGUACAUGAUUGCACUAUUAAAAAAUAUAUUAGCCAACUAUUAGGUCAGAAUACAGCAGAAAUAUAAAUGUUCUAAGUUCUGGCAGUAUGUUUGGAAGUCGGUAUGUAAUGCCAACACACUGGAUAUGUAGUGCAUGCCUACAUGCUCAGUGCCUUUGCAGAAUUGUAAAAGUUGUUUCAAUUCCCUAUUUUUGUGUGUAAUUUUCCUCCGGUAGUGUUACAGGUUAAUUUAUAACUAGAAGAUAAGCAAAUGGUAGACUAAAAAAAAUAAAGAAAAAAAAAGAAUAUAUCACAGUAAUCUUUAGAGCGGUUUCAGAACUGUGUAUAAUCACUCCUAAUCACUUUUAUGUUUAGUAGGUAGUCAUGAAUUUAUAGAAGACAGAAAUCCGGAAAUACUUAAGGCAGAAGCUGAUGUCUGGUGAUGCAGCAUCCUGAGUGAUGCUGUCCUCUCAAGAAGUGGGCUGAUGGAUAUUGUUUUACGUUCAGUUAUUAAUAAAUAUUUUUCCUUUCAGCUAUUAGCUCAGGGCCACCGAGGGCCGGUUGGUUCCUGGUCUCCUUCCUGCAGUGUGAGGUGCCCUGUGCUGGGAGCAGUGGGCACACAGGGUGCUUAGUGCAGGGACAGAGCGCUGCGAAAUCUUCGCUCAGUGUUCAAAGAGCUUCAAAGUCAACCUAAGAUGUAACACCUCUGGGAGAAGCCCUGCACAGCCAGACUGCUUCUAAAAGCGUUUUCCACUGUCGUUAACAGUGCCUUUAAAAAUGUGCUAGCACCAUCUUGUGGGGCAGCGAGACUUUAAUUGGGUUUGAAAGUGAGCUGAGGAGGUAUCGGCUUGGCAAGCAGACGCUGCGUGAGCAUCUGUAACAGUGCUGACAUCUUCAGAAGCAUUUGAAGGAUGAAUUCUAACUGCUAGCGUUAGCUUGAAGAAUCUCAAAGCCCAAUUAAUGCAAUUCUCUUACAGAAGUAGUUUGGUUCUGGUGAAUGCUGGAUGACUGCUGUUAGUGGUGAGAUGGCACGUUGUUUUCUUUCAGCAUUGACAUUUGCUGUGCGUGUGCACUGUGUGCUUUUUGCUCUGAGAUACUGUGUUCAUAAUAAUGCAGGGAGAGUCUUAGAUCUUAAUUUGUGUCAAAAUUCUUCUUGUAACGGUGAUUCCCUCAGUAGGGUGACAAGAAUUGUAAUUUUAUUGUGGCGUAACAUCUUCCCUUUUGUAAAUUAUAAGAGCAAAGAUAGCGUGCUGUACAGACAUUAAUCACUGAAUCCUCAUUAUGUCUUUCAGAAAAAAUAUGGGUAUGCUUGAUUUUCUUGUAGUGUAAGAACAGAAGCUAAACAUGUCUAACAGUCUUCUCUAUUUUGGCACAGAUACUUUUACAGUGCCAGGCUGGAGCUUUUUAACUUAGGCAUCGUUAGAACCUUUUGGAAGAAUUAAAGUUAGAAGUAAAAUAUGAGUUGAUGUAAGUAGGAUCUGGGCUGUUUGAAAAGCUUGAAACAUUAUAACUGCUUCAGAUUGUGAAUAACAAAUGAAGCCAAACAGAAAAUAAAAUGUAAAGUUAGCACUGUCAUAACUUAAAGAAAUAGUGAUGAGUGCUGACUGUAGAGGUCAGAGUGUAGCUGCUCUCCACAUAAAUGGCACAGUGAUAGUAGGUAUGAACUAAAAGACUUGAUGUCAUGUCACCCAGAAUCACAAGGCACUUCUCUGUAUUGUAAAAGUGAUGCAGCCAUUUGAGUAGAUAACCAGUUGUUGGUUGUUUUGCUUUGUGUGUUUUUCUUCUUUUUUAAUGGCUUAUAUGAGUGAAAGAAUUUUGAUAUGUUUUUCUCCUUAUACAAAUGAGAGUUGUGCUGAGUGAGGUGCAGUUACAAGGUGGGCCAGACAUGCUGCUCCCAGCUCUGUCCCUGCGCUCCAUCAAUGGAACGAACCUACCCGUAUGCAGGGAAGAGCUCAGCAAGGGAAUUUGUUCUUCUGUUUGUGUCCUGUUACUUAACUCUGAGUUUCAUGUUAGGUGCUACAAAGUAUCAUGGAGCUGUUGACAGUUUGUAGACAGUUACCUAAAAUUUGAGUACCAAACAGGAAUAGGGAGCUAUUCAAGUGCAGGAUGGUGCAAGGGAAGUACUGUGUAAGGCUUCUGUUUCUCAGGACAUAUUUUAAUGGGUGUUGGGAUUGGGUAUGUAACCAGUGGCACUUGGUGUCUGCUGAUAGGGCUGUGCAGUUGUGUGUUAGAAAUGAAAUGAACUUGCUCUUUCAGCUGUUGGAGGUGGAACUCUUCAGUGAAAAGGCUCUCCCGCAGGAAUCCCACACCCUGGAGGUUAGUGAGAGGGUCUGG